UAGUCCACGCCGUAAACGAUGGUUACUAGCUGUUCGGACUUCGGUCUGAGUGGCUAAGCGAAAGUGAUAAGUAACCCACCUGGGGAGUACGUUCGCAAGAAUGAAACUCAAAGGAAUUGACGGGGGCCCGCACAAGCGGUGGAGCAUGUGGUUUAAUUCGAUGAUACGCGAGGAACCUUACCAGGGCUUAAAUGUAGUCUGACAGCUUUAGAGAUAGAGUUUUCUUCGGACAGAUUACAAGGUGCUGCAUGGUUGUCGUCAGCUCGUGCCGUGAGGUGUCAGGUUAAGUCCUAUAACGAGCGCAACCCCUGUUGUUAGUUGCCAGCGAGUAAUGUCGGGAACUCUAGCAAGACUGCCGGUGCAAACCGCGAGGAAGGUGGGGAUGACGUCAAAUCAUCACGGCCCUUACGUCCUGGGCCACACACGUGCUACAAUGGUAGGUACAGAGAGCAGCCACUUGGCGAGUACAGAGGGUAGCGAAGCCGCGAGGUGGAGCCAAUCUCAGAAAGCUCG
rnacentral:rRNA from 1 species